GUGAACCCGAGUGUGAGUAUGGACGAUUGCAAAGCAAUCCCUGCAGAGCCUCAUUCAGAUCAACAUGUUUGAAAAAUGAACCUGGAGCAGAUUAAGGAGGACUUUGCAGUGCACACAGUAUGUCAUUCAGACAGGUGAGUGCAACAACACUGAUGGUUGUAAUUCUUCAGAGGAGAAUGUAGUGUUGUGUGCAUGUGGGUGCAUUGCAUGUGUCUUCUUUGCUUAUGUGUGUUUGUUGGCUGCAGCCACUGUGGAGUUUAUGUUGUUUAUACGUUCUCUGUGUUGUUUUUCUUGGUGAUGUUUUUUCUACUGUUGAUUCUAUAAGCUUUUAUAGCUUAAUAAUUGUUGCACCCGCUAUGGUGUCCAGUCAUUAUUUAUAGUGUAUUGUUUGUUUCACUAUCUGAGUUUUUUUUUCCUCUUUUCUGGUUCUAGUGAAGCUAAGGUGGUUGGUUGUAUUUGAUUAUCAGUUCAGUCUAUAGAAAUGGAAUGUAAUGUUUGUUUGGUUUGAUGUGCAUACGUUGACAUGUUAAUGAUAUAUAAAUGUGUACAUAUAAAUGUAUAACUGCAUAUAAAUGUGGAAUGAAAUAUGAUUGAAUUUAUUUCAAUAAGUCAAUCAUAUAACAGCAUCGUCCUAUAGCAUUUUUGCAACCCUCCCUCCACCUCCUGUUAUCUUUUUAAAAAUGUAAGCCAGUAAUAUUUCACUAAAAAAAAAGAAUACUUUUCUAGAACUAUUUCCAACUCCACAUACAGUAUGAGUGCCGUGCUGUAUUUUCUCAUCAUUUUGCUUGCAUGCUUUGGCCUGCUGAUGGCCAAUCCACUCUUGAACCUGAUUCGUUCUACUCACUAACAUCGGGAGGCAAGUCACCAAUAGUGCACCCAACAACAAUUGCAGAAACACUGGAACAACUUUGUUAUACUUUUUCUGUUUACCAGGAAAUGAACAGGUCAGUGUGCUUUUGGUCACUACAACCAAAUCAGGCAGUUUAUCUUCUCUCAUUGGUAUUGUGACAUACCUGUAUGCAGGAGAUACUGGGAUCUUCUUUCCUUCUAUCCUAAAAUGACAUGGUAUUGACACGGCUUCAUGUAAUAAAUUGCAAACUAAUUAUUUUUCAGCUGUUGUGAUUUACUAAAACUAGAUAUUGACCAAUGGUUCCCAAACAUAUGAAACAAUUCCUACUCUGCAUGUGUUUAUCUGCUGCAAUCAACACUGAUUUUAUUUGCUCUGGUUUUGUGGGUAGCUUGUUGUUUUAAUUUCUGACCAGCAGAUGUCACCAGUGUACUAAGAACCUUUCCAAGAAAACCUUAUCCGACCACUAUUUAGUAAAAACUAAACACCGACGCAUUUGUUGUUGUCGGGGGUACUCACAUGCUUGUGAAACAAAAAGAUGUAUUAUGUAUUCUAUAUCUGAUUUACAAAAAGGUGGGCCUUUUUUGACUUUGACUACUUUUGCAAUGUAAACUACAUUUGUAGAAGAACAGAGUCCCAAUGCUGCCUUGUCAAAAAAACAAUGGCUAAAAUAAUGUGUUUUUGUAUCUUUUAUUAAACAAAGGUAGUGAGCCAUCACAGGAAGGCACCAAGUGAAAGAAAUUACAAAUAUAAGUGUGUAAUGGAAAUGACUUGCAGUGAAAGCUCAUACAUGGUGGAAAACUAUAGUUUAGCAUCACACUGUUUCAGGGAUCAGUGCAAUAUCCCUAACAGUCAUGAGGGCAGGGGAUAAAUAAAACAACCUGUGUAAGUCACAAA